UACGUAGGGGGCGAGCGUUGUCCGGAUUCAUUGGGCGUAAAGAGCUCGUAGGCGGCUUGGCAAGUCGGGUGUGAAAACUUCAGGCUCAACCUGGAGCGGCCACUCGAUACUGCCAUGGCUUGAGUCCGGUAGGGGACCACGGAAUUCCUGGUGUAGCGGUGAAAUGCGCAGAUAUCAGGAAGAACACCCGUGGCGAAGGCGGCCCACUGGAUCGGUACUGACGCUGAGGUGCGAAAGCGUGGGGAGCAAACAGG
rnacentral:rRNA from 1 species